UGGGGGAAAAUUAAUAAAUAAAAUAAAUAAUAAAAAUAAUUAUAAAAAAUAAUUAAUGGGGGUUAAAGUAUUUUUUAGAAAAAAUUUAUUAAUUUAUAGUUUAAUAGUAUUGUGAAAGAAUUUUGAAAUAAAGUUAAAUAUGGAUUAUUAUUUAAGUAAAUUUAAUUUAUUGUAUCUUGUGUAUCAGAGUUUAUUAAUAAAAUAUUUUUAAAUAAAAAUAUCUCGAAUUUAAAAGAGAUAGUUAAUUAUUAAAGUUAAUGUUACAUAAUUAUUUUAAAUAAUUAAUUUGAAAUGAAAUGUUAAUCGUUUUUAAAAAUAUCUAGUUUUUUUAGAAAAAAAUUUAAUUUUAAAUUAAUUUAAUAAUUUUUUAAAUUUGUUAUAUAAAAUUAUAUAUUUAAUUAAAUAUUUUAGGGGAUAAGCUUUAAAUUAAAUUUUUAUAAUAUUAAUAAAUUAUUUAAAUAUUUUAAAAUUUAUAUUUUUUAUAAAUUAUAAUUUUUUAUAAAUAAUUUUAUUUAUUUUAAAAUUUAAAUUUAUAUUUAAAUUUAUAUAAAAAAAUAAUUUUUAAUAAUAAAAAAUUAGUUAUAAUGAUAAAAUUAGUAUAUAAGAAAAAAAAAUAAAAUAAAAUUAAUUAAAAUUAAUAAAAAGGAAUUCGGCAAAAAU
rnacentral:rRNA from 1 species